GAGCAGCUGUCGCUUCCCGCUUUGAAGAUAUCCUGUUCUUUCCUGUUCACUUAGUCUGCAACAUCACCAACCUCAUGGCUCGUAAUUGUUGUGGGAAGAAACUAUAAAUCUCAAUUUUGUGGCAGUCAACAAAUAUUUUACUCACUGUGGGAAGAAACAUGUUGGACGUUCUUUGUAGUACAUUAUUCCAACUCUCCACUUUCACCACUCUGAUGCCUUCUUGAGGAAAUACGAACAUGGUUUAACUGACUGGAUUCAGAAGAUCAUUCGUCUGCAAUGGGUCUGGGCUUGAACCCCAAUGAGGAUAGAUGUUGUGUUUGCCAUAAGACACUGGGUCUUUCGCUUUCCUGGAGUCAAUUGCUUUAAAGUGACUACUUAUAGCCCAUUGAGAUGCUCACGGUGGUCAUUAAACUCUAUGUCAAAAAUCUCAGUAACGGCUGCUUUAAUUUUGAGACCCAGCAAAUAUCUACACUGCUAAACAUGGUGCAGCAGCUAUUGGGCAACACUGUGCACCCUAUGGAACAAGCACCACCUACAGCAGCUCAAAGUGCUAUACCACCUUUUCACCAGUUUCAUGAACAAUAAGAGGAAUGGCUCAAGUGGUUGCAACAGUCUGAAGCCCACGUAAUUGCUCACAAUGUACCAGGUACUGUGAAACUUCCCUAUCUGUUGUCCAGGGUAGGAAGUGCAGUGUUUGAGCUCCAACAAAAAUUGUUUGCCAAUGCCACUCUGAGUGAACUUUCGCAUGAUCAGGUUCUACAUUCGCUAACUAACUAUUAUGACCAACAAGUGAAUGUGUUAGCAGCUAGGUAUAUAUUCUUUAAUUGUAAAAAAUGGUCAGAACAAACUUAUCGUGAGUGGGUAACAGAUUUCCAAGGUAUGAUGAGGAAAUGCUAAUUCAAAUGUGCUUGUGGUGCUUUAUAUUCAGAGGCUAUGUUGUGUGAUGCAGUCGUGUACAAAGUAACUGAUGUCAAACUCAGAGAACAGAUUUUGAAAUAGUGUGAUCCAUCCUUUAGCAAGUAGUGCAAAUACUUGAUCAGUAUGCUUCAGGUGCCCUGUUGCUGAUGAAUCUGAGCAACCAGCAAUUUGUUGGAUUGAAUUGAUUGUUUGCAACUGGCCCAUUCAGAAGCGGCAGCUUACACUGGCCACACUGCGUAAACAGCUCUCAACACCAUGUAAGCAGCUUGCUAAAGAGGCAGCUACACAGGUGAACAGAAUUAAGUCAUGCCGUCAGUGUUAUUCCCAACACAAAUGCCAAGACUGCCCUUUACGACAAGCACAGUGUUACAUUUGUGGCAGGAAAUGACAUGUACAAUCCAUAUGUUUGCAGUGGCACAAACAUAAGAAUUUCGCCCACUCACACAAAUCUAGUCACAACACCCAUGUCAUUAAUGCAGUAUAUUCAAAUUCUGCAACAGGCAUUGGCAAAACUAGCAAGUGAGCAGUUUCUUCAGUGCAAAGCCAGUCCAACAAACUUUUUGUACAUUUGCUUCUUUGUGGAAAAUGUGAAAUUUCCGUUGGACACGGGUGCCUCUGUUACACUGCUGAAUGAUAACACAAAUGAAAUGUUAGGCUUCCCACGCCUGUCUAAAACUAGCUCACACUCAUUGGCUUAUAAUGGACAAAACAUUCUGAUUGUCGGAAAAUAUACUUUGCCUGCCAUGUAUCACUCGCAUAUGCAAACAGUGACUUUUACUGUGCUACAAUCACAUGAUUGUGAGAACAUAUUUGGUCUUGAUUCAUUUGAUUUGUUUGGUUUUAACAUUCAGGGCAAUGUGUUGUCAGUGUCUGCAUUCCAUGCAAAAGAUAGUGUCACUAGCUUGCUGAAAGAAUUGUUGGAACUCUUUUCUGAAGGUUUAGGCAAGGUUAACAAUUUUGUUGCACAUAUUACUCUGAAAAACAAUGCUCAGCCAAACUUUUGUGGGGUUAGGCCUGUUCCCAUUGUAUUACAGGACAAAGUCACUGCUGAACUUAAAGAAUUGCAAGAUAGUGAAGCUAUUGCACCCAUACAAGCUAGUCAAUGGGCAAGUCCACUGGUUUGGCUCCCCAAACCUUCAGGUCACAGUUGCCGCCAUGUUGACUUUUAAGUCUACAGCCAAUUUACAAACUGUGAUUCAUACUUACCCCUUGCCACAGCCAGUAGAUCUCAUGGACAAAUUAGGUGUUUGUCGCUACUUUUCAAAAACUGUUUUGCACUAUGCAUAUCAUCAAAUACCGCUCGAUGAAGAGUGUCAAAAAGUGUGUGUAGUGAAUACUCAUUUUUGCUUGUUUAAAUAUUUGCAGUUGCCUUUUUUCAGUGUUUCUGCACCUGCCAUUUUCCCACAAUAUUUGGAGCAGCUGGCUGCUCAAGUGCCAAACUGUUCAAAUAUUUGGAUGAUAAUGUCAUAGCUGAUCAUGCAUCUGAAUAACAUAUUGCAAAUUUGCAUGCUUUGUUUUGUGCGCUAUCUGAUGCAGGAUUAAAGUGUAGACUGGACAAGUGUGAUUUUUUUAAACUUCAGUUGCAGUAUUUUUGUCAUGUCAUAAAACAGAAUUGCAGUCAGUCUUAGGGAAAAUGAGCUGUUGUGUUUGAUUCAUACCAAAUUCUGGACAAAUCACAGCUCCAUUGCAUCACUCGCAUCACUAGAACAUUUUGUCAGAACCUUCAAGCAGCAGAUGGCAAAACUUUGCUCUGCACACACCAGGGAUCAAGCACUGCAACCGUGUCUCUCCUCCUGUCGUUUGCACACACGAGAUUGACCAUUGCCGACGGAAUUGCUUCACAGCCACCACCAUCAGACACUGCUCCAUCUGCUCCACCUACCUCAGCAUCUGGUGCUGAAGGAAGGCUGCAAGUAUUGCUUUACACCACAUGAUAUCGUGUUUUGCAGGGUUUGAAAUGGCAGCGGAUGGUGGGCGUGAGUCGAGAUUGUCCAUCGGCUUGGUGCAUGCAUGUAUCUCAUUUCAGGUCCAGAAGGAUUGCAGCACCUUCAUCACAAUCAACUUUGCCACUGUCAUGUGCACUGUGAUCCUUCUGUGUCUCUUCCCUCAGAUUCACAGAUCCCAAGGACACCGCAGCCACCAGACUGUGUCAUCACGACACUGUGGGGCGACCGCAUGGAGAUAGAGCUUCCACCUUCUCUCAUCCUCCCAAUGGAUUGGAACCUGCCCACACUGCAGCAGCCGAAGCCAUCUACAUCUGGUUAUUGGACUCAGGAGAAGGACACAUACCCUUCUGGUCAUUUUCUGGGGGCAUUUCCACCAGAAUUAAGGCCACAUGGCGGGGUAUGACCAGAAACUUGACAUCCCAUGCAACCACAGUUUUCCGAUCCAGUGAAGCAUCUGCACUCCUGCCUCCCCACCCCCACCCCCUGUUGUUGAACUUGCUACACGACAAUGGUCUGUCACUUUUGGGGGGGGGGGGGAGGGGGGGGAGAGGAAUGUUCCAGCACAAUGACAAACACCUGCACGACAAAGAAGAAUGGAAGAGCAGAGCUGGCUGUGAGAUAAAGACAGCCAACAGUAUGCUGACUAGGACGACACCAAGACACCAAGACAGAAAGAGAAUAUAAGCAUCGUGCCACCUAGCCACAGGGAGUGGAUGACGAACUGUCAUACAAAUGCUACAACAGUGACUUAUGAACUGUUUUAUUUUGCUUGCAUUGAAAUUGUAUAUGCUGAAUGACAUUGAUUAUUUGGCAGUCACCAUUUGCUUGCGACACUCCUUUGUGAGUAUGCAAAGUUAAGUAUUGUCAAUAUAACUUACUGUAAUAAACUCACUAGUACAAUUUG